UUUCAUUUCCUUUUGCAAGUUAUAAAUUUGGCAGUUGUGUCUUAUUUUUUUCUUCCGUUUUUUUUUUCAAUGUUAUAUAUUUGUAGAGUAGUCUCAAAUAGAGCUAAAUGACGAAAAAUGAUCUAUAUAACCGACCUCAGCUAGUUUAACAUUAAAGCUUAGUUGUUAUUGUUGUAUAUAUUUGUAGUGUUGGUUUUUAUAGUUGGAAAUGAUUUGUCUGUGGGCACUGAUCAUGCCUUGCAAUUGAAGUAGCUUUUUUGGUCUUAGUGAGAUGCUACAGUGUGAAAAAGAUGCGCUACAUAUCUGAAGAUUCUGGGUCUUGAUUCAGGUCUUGCAAGCAUCCUUUGUUAGACUUUGAUAUGUGUCUUGCAUUAAGUAACUAGCUGUUAAUGUUCUACAAAACUAUACAUUAACAAUUUAUGAAGACUAUGAAAAUAAAUAAAUAAAUAAACAAGUUAAAAGGAAAAAUAAAAUUUCCCACGAGGAAAGUUGGGCAUCUUUAGCUUCAAAUGCAUGGUAAUCUGGCUAAAAUGAUUUAAAGCAUGCAUAGUGCAUCUUAACAAAGCCGUAGAAAGUAAUGCUUCCCAAAUAUUUCUAAUCUUUAUCUAUUUUUUGGAUGCUUCCCAUGUAUACUACUACUAAAAGGCCCUUGUUAGUGCAGUGGCUUUUUUAAGAGUAGACUUUAUGAAUUAUGAUAUAUAUUUUGUCUAUAUUGAAUUACUAUUACAAGGCUCAUGCCAGUGGAGUGUUUUCUUUUAAAGAAUCUGUUGUAAGCUAUAUGUGGAUAUACUGAAGUACUUCUCUCUUGUAUUAGUCGCACUUAAUG
rnacentral:misc_RNA from 1 species